CGACAUGAUCUGAUUUAUUUAUUGUCUUGUUUUUAUUUAUGUUGUUUAGUGUUUUAUUAUUUACUGAAGAAUCAUUUUGUUGUUGUAUAUUUGUGAUUUAAUUCUUUUUGCUAUAGAUUAUUUGUACUGUAGGGGUAUGAUUUGUUAAUGUGUUUUUAAAAGCUGAUUUGGUUUGUUGUACCUUGUGUAUCAGGGUUCAUUAAAUUUUAUUAUUUAUUUUUAUUUCCCGAUUUUAAAGGAGUUAAUGGUUUAUUUUAGUUAGUGUUUCAUUAUUAUUAAUAAUAGGCCGUUGGUAGUGAAAUGUUAUUCGUCUUUAGUGGUUUCUGGUUUUCCAAGAAAUGAAUUCAAUUCAUGCACUUUGUUUAAUUUUUACUUUGGUUUUAUAAAUUUUUACUUGGUGUUAAGAUUAGGGGGGAUUAGCUCCUUAUUUUAUUUUUAUAAUUUAGUUUUUAAUUUAGUUUUGUGGAUUUUAUGGUGAUUUUCAAUUUGAUUAUGUUAAAAUUUUAUUAAUUCUUUUGUUUAUUUGUUUUUGUUUAAUUUUUUAUUGGAAUGUUUUCUUUAAUUGCUCGUUGGGUGGUAAUUAUUGUGUAAUUAGUAAAUUUUUCUUUAUGUUGUUGAUUUUUUGUUAAAUUCUUCUGAGGAACUAGGCAAAGUUUUCAUGUCCGCCUGUUUAACAAAAACAUCUUUUCUUGUUAGUUUUUGAAGUAUGGCCUGCCCACUGACGUUUAUGUUGAAGGGCCGCGGUAUUUUGACCGUGCAAAGGUAGCAUAAUCAUUAGUUCUUUAAUUGUGAUCUGGUAUGAAUGGCUUGACGAGGCAUGUACUGUCUUAGAUUAUGAAUAUUUAAUUGAAUUUGGUUUUUGAGUUAAAAUUCUUAAAUGUUUUUAUGGGACGAGAAGACCCUAUAGAGUUUAACAUUUGAUUCUCUUUUUAUUCUUUUGUUUGUUUUGUUUAAUUAAUUGAUUUAGGUGUUUUGUUGGGGUGAUGGGAGGAAUUUAUUUAACUCCUCUUUGAUUAAAUACAUUUAUUUAUGUUUUUUUGAUCCAUUUAUUUUGAUUAUAAGAUUAAAUUACCUUAGGGAUAACAGCGUUAUCUUCCUUGAGAGUUCUUAUUGGCGGGGAGGUUUGCGACCUCGAUGUUGGAUUAAGAUUAAUUUUUGGUGUAGGAGCUGAAAGUGAUUGGGUCUGUUCGACCUUUAAAAUCUUACAUGAUCUGAGUUCAGACCGGCGUGAGCCAGGUUGGUUUCUAUCUAUAAUUUAUUUUAUACCUUAGUACGAGAGGACCGGGUAUUUGGAAUAAUUUUAUUUAUAUGAUUAUUAAUAAUAUUUUACUAUUUUGGCAGAUAAGUGCAUUGGAUUUAGAAUCUAUUAA
rnacentral:rRNA from 1 species